CAAAGUUGAGUAGCUCUGUUCUACUCUCUUUGGACUUCCUUUUACUUCUAAUAUAUUUGUGGAAUGUUUUCUUGUUUCUCUUUAUGUCUUUAGCUAGUUUGAGCUUGUUUGUGCCUUGGCCUUUCUAAUUUUACUGCUACAUAUUUUUGUUAGUUUGUAUUCAUCCUUUGUAACUUUACCUAGUUUCCACUUUUAGUAUGACUCCUUUUUGAUUUUUAGAUCAUUGAAGAUCUUCUGCUUAAAUUAAUGUAGUUUCUUGCCGUACUUCCUAUCUUUCCUACUCUGUCAAAUAGUUUGUUCUUGCACCCUUUAUGUCUCUCUGAAAAAUUGCCACCUGUCUUCAACUGUUUUUCCUCUUAGACUUACUCCCUAUGGGACCUUACCUACCAACUCCCUGAGUUUUCUAAAGUGUGUCGUCUUGAAAUCCAUUGUCUUUAUUUUGCUGUUUUCCUUCCUACCAUUCUUUAGAAUCAUGAACUCUAUCAUUUCACAAUCACUUUUAACCCAACCUUCCAUCCACUUUCAAAUUCUCAACCAGUUCCUCCCUAUUUGUUAAAAUUAAAUCUAGAACAGACUUCUUCCAGUAGCUUUCUCCAUCUUCUGAAAUAACACCCCAAGAACUUAUUGGAUAAUCUGUGCCUUGCUAUCUUGUUUUUCCAACAGAUGUUUGGAUUGAAGUCCCCCAUCACCACCAAGUCCUGUGCUUUGGGUGAUUUUAUUUAAAAAAAGGGGGGGGGGGCUCAUCCACAUUUGCUUCUUGGUUAGCUGGUCUGUAGUAGACCCUUACCAUGAUAUCACCCUUGGUUUUUUACCUCUUUUGUUCUAAAUUUUUAUCCUUAGACUCUCCAAGUCUGUCUGAGUUCCAUCUCAGCUUCAGUCCAAAUGUAUACAUUUUUAAUAUAUAAGGCAACACCUCUUCCUUUUUUUCCCUGACUGUCCUUCCUGAGCAAGCUGUACCCUUCUAUACUAAUAUUCUAGUCAUAUGUAUUAUCCCAGUCAUAUGUAUUAUAUAUUAGUGAGAGGCAAAUCCAGGGAGCAAGUUCUGUUGCAUGUCCAAUUCACACUUCAAUCAUCUGGAUCUCAUCUUUAACAAAAGGAAGUUGACAUUAAUACCCACUCAAAAAAUUGCGUUCAUUGGAGCCCUAUUAGAUUCUACAAGUUCAAGAGCUUUUCUGCCAGAUGAAUGAUUUCAAGCAGUUUGUCUCCUAUAUCUGACACUACAAGUUGAACCUUCAACUAUGGGCCGUGCAUGCUUAAAAUAACUCUGUCAUUUGGCUGCAUGCACUUGUAUAGUCCAGCAUGCAAGAUCACACUUCAUUCUCCUCAAAGUAUGAUUGAAAUUGGCCUAUCGGCCUCAGUUGUCAAUCACUGGACUCCCAAUAGUGUUGUUCAGAGAUAUAUGCCAGGUUGUUUCCUUUGCUCAUCCUCCACUGACUAGGACUGUAAUCACCAGUUUUGAGACAUUUACAGUGUUGCUUGUCAUCCUUUGGGAUCACGUAAGGGGGAUAGUGGUUCAUAUAUUCACUACAAAUAUUGCUGUGUCGUUUUAUGUGAACAAGUAAGGAGGAGCCCACUCCAACUAGCUUUUUCAGGAUGCAAUAAAAUUCUGGCUGUUCUAUAUCCAGGACAGUAUCUUUCUUCCAGAAGUUAACUUAACUAAGGUUCAGAAUAACUUGGCAGAUCACUUCAGUGAGAAUAUUUCCCUGUAUCACAAAUGGUAUAAGUCCGAAGUGCUAAGAUCCAUCUUUGAAACAUAGGACAUUCCAACUAUCAAUCUGUUUACAACAAACACAAGACAUGCCAUCGGUUUUGCUCUUGAGUAAGUCUCAAUCCAUGCUCCUUAAUUGACGACACCUAGCUCAACUGGGAAUCAGCUCUCCUGUAUACUAUCUCCCUGAAAACCGAUCAUCCCAGAGGUCAUUCUGAAGUUGAAAUUGGAUCAUGGCAGACUAAUUUUCAUCACACUAGUUUGGCUGAGAUGACGUUGGUUCUCCGACCUAUUUAGGCUGUCGGUUUGACCUCCCAUAGCUAUUCCUCCUUAUCCCAAUCUACUCAUUCAACAUCAGAGUCGAGUUUUGCAUUCAGCACUCUCCAUCUUUUGCAUGGAUGCUGUCUGGCUAGAUGAAGAACCCUGUUUGAAAAGUGUUCCUCAAAUGUUGCUUAACAAUAGGAAGCCCUCUACUUAGGCAACAUUUUUUUGCUACAUUGAAGUGAUUUUUUUUAGUGUGGUCGCUAGAUUGGUAUUCAUAAGAGCAUAAGAAUGUCCAUACGGGGUCAGACAAAAGGUCCAUCUAGCCCAGUAUGCUGUCUUCUGACAGUGACCAGUGUCAGGUGCCUCAUCUUCCUCUUGGUCUUCAUGCUGAAUGAAUUGAGGGAUGGUGGGGUGAUGCUACCCUUAAAUAGUAAGGGGAGCAGGUAAGGCCACAAGGCAUAAAUAUCACUCCUACAGGUACUUUUCACAAAGCUCUCCAGCUUCUGUGCACUGGGUUCAUGGACACAUGAGUGGUAUACAUGUCUGCACACACAUAUCAAAGAACAACUGUUACAGGUAAGCAACCAUUUUUUACAGUGUAUUCACAUGAUAUAAUUUGUAAGGAUGUUAAAAAGCAUUUAAUAUGGCAACUGUGUAGCCACUAAAAUUCUUAGCAGUUACAUAGUUACAUGCACUGUGGGCUCUGUAGUAUAAAGCUUACAUAAGCUGGCAGCUCUUGCCUGCCAGGAUCCCAGGGGGGAGGAAGGUUCGCUGGCCUGGUGCAGUGAAGCUGCACUUCCCCUGGAGCAGGCUGAAUGAGACCAUUAAUGGAUAAGUAUCAGCUUAUUGGUUAAACAGUUAGUCAAUUAAGCUCUAACAUCCCUAAUAAUUUGUCUUUUUUUUUUUUAAUGUUUAUAGCUAUACAGCUGCCAGUGGUUUACUUACAUUUGGGUUACUAGAAUGUUGGUGAGAAUUAUAUUAACACAUUUGCACACUUUCAAUUAAUUGAAUUCUAAGAUACUCAGUUAUUGCUGUUCAGCAUAUCUGAUAUUACAGUGACCAGUGUGGCUUUAGUGACUCGGUUGUCCUUGGCAAUCUAAAAUGUGUCUGUAUUGAUGACAUGGGGUGGAUAUACCCUGCACUAUAAGAGGGGGACUGAAAGGCCUAUGAGCAGAGGAAGCACCACCCAUUUCUACCAAUUGGACAUGCUCCUGGUGUGGGGACUGUAUAAAAGGCCUGGGGACAUCCCAUUCAAGGGAAACUGCAAGCAGCAAGGGAGCUCAGGCAGGAGCCUCUGAUCCCUCCGGGUCAUCACAGCUGCCCUCUGAGCAGCAACCCCAGCAGCAGCCACUGCCGACAGAGGAGCACGCCCCACAGCCACCGCUCCAGCCACCGCCGCACCUGGAGCAGCCAAACCCCGCUGCAACCCCAGAGACUACCCUGACCAAGGGGAGAGUCAGCCAUAAGCAGGGAUGGGCCUUCUGGAAAGGACAUAUGGACUCAUGGCUAUAAUACAUGAUGGGAGUUGAAGUCUGUCUCUUCAGCUUUUGAGAGUGGUUCUUAAGGUGUUUCUCUCUCCUCUCUGAGGAACGUAAAACUUUCCUGUUGGAUCAAACCUGUGGUCCAUCUAGUCCAGGAGCCUCUGACUGUGGGUAGCCUCAAUUGCUUCAGAGAAAGGUAUAAAAACUGCCACAGUAGGUAGAAGUGGCAUAAUCUGCCUCCUCAGUUUUGUCUUAUUUUAGACUGUAAUGUUCAGCUAUCGGUUUAAGCCCUGAAGCACAAGGUAUUUUUUUCUCCCUUCUGUAGCUCUCAUUUUAUUAAUUGCUUUUAUAACUCUGGACAGCAUGAAACUUCUCAUUUUACAUCUUUAGGACAAAGAAACAAUUGACUACAUUUUUCCCUGGAGCACCUCCGGUUACAUAAAUGGAGUCACUUUAGGGAUGAAUUUGUGUAAUCGUGUUUCCCAGAAACACAUAGGUAUAAAUAAUUGGUAGCUUGGCUGGAGAUAUGGGGAGGAGAAUUCUGACUGCCCUGUCAAAUUAGAAAAUUUAAGAAAGUGCUAAGCAAAUGUUUCACAAUGAAUUUCAGCUGCAUAUCACUCUGAGUGUCUUUUUAUUGUCAUCCUUUGACAUGAUGAAUACUUACAGCAGUAUGUUUAAAAAAAAAAAGAUACAGUUAAGUCUCUUGUUUAAUUCUUGGCAUCACUGCAUAGCAGUCACAGCAUUUUCACACAAUCCGUUACUUCCUUUCAGCUUGUUACCCAUGAAGCAUGCACACACUUCAUAACUGAGCAGAAUCCUAGUCCAACUGAAGUCAAUGGAAGGUGAUUUCACUUGCACCAGGAUUUGGCUCAUAUAGUUGUAUUAGGUAUGUGUAUGGCUAUGUACAACAUUUUACAAUAAACAUGACAUUUCUAUACAAUUUUGUGUUUAAAUUUAACGGAAUAUACUGUACAUCUAAGUCAAACUUUUUAUGCUCUGCAUGUAAAAGUUUGUGUACCUAAAAUAUAGGAUGGAUUAUAGCAAUAAAUGAUUGUUUGCACCAAUGGGAAGGUUAAAUGUACAGUCUUGCA